ensembl:snRNA U6 U6 spliceosomal RNA
AUGCGCCGGCUUCGGCCGCACAUAUACUAAAUUUGGAACAACACAGAGAAGAUCAGCACGGCCCCUGUGCAAGGAUGACACGCAAAUUCGUGAGGCGUUCCAUAUUUUC